CAGUAGCCGCGGGAAAACAGAGGGUGCGAGCGUUAAUCGGAUUUACUGGGCGUAAAGCGUGCGUAGGCGGCUUUUUAAGUCGGAUGUGAAAUCCCUGAGCUUAACUUAGGAAUUGCAUUCGAUACUGGGAAGCUAGAGUAUGGGAGAGGAUGGUAGAAUUCCAGGUGUAGCGGUGAAAUGCGUAGAGAUCUGGAGGAAUACCGAUGGCGAAGGCAGCCAUCUGGCCUAAUACUGACGCUGAGGUACGAAAGCAUGGGGAGCAAACAGGAUUAGAGACCCCUGUAGUCCCUGUCUCUUAUAC
rnacentral:rRNA from 1 species